rnacentral:sRNA from 1 species
UUACUCUGGGACCUUCACUGUGUGGGU